rnacentral:rRNA from 1 species
AGCAGCCGCGGUAAUUCCAGCUCCAAUAGCGUAUAUUAAAGUUGUUGCAGUUAAAAAGCUCGUAGUUGAAUUUCGAGAUCAAUUUGUUGGUCGUGCCUCGGUACGUACUGGCAAUUUUGAUUUCUCCCUUCUGAAGAACCAUGAUGUCAUUAAUUUGGUGUCAUGGGGAAUCAGGACUGUUACUUUGAAAAAAUUAGAGUGUUUAAAGCAGGCUCGCGCUUGAAUACAUUAGCAUGGAAUAAUGAAAUAGGACGUUUGAUUCUAUUUUGUUGGUUUCUAGGAUCGACGUAAUGAUUAAUAGGGAUAGUUGGGGGCAUUAGUAUUCAAUUGUCAGAGGUGAAAUUCUUGGAUUUAUUGAAGACUAACUACUGCGAAAGCAUUUGCCAAGGAUGUUUUCAUUAAUCAAGAACGAAAGUUAGGGGAUCGAAGACGAUCAGAUACCGUCGUAGU